rnacentral:tmRNA from 1 species
ACUGGUUUCGACGGGGGUUUUGAAAUUGAGACAGCCAUUCGCAGUCCGGAACUGCGUUAAAAGCCGGAAACUAAAAUAAACGCAAACGAUAAUAAGUUAGCAAUCGCUGCCUAAUGGCAGCUGUCGGACCUGGAUCUCUCGCCGUCCAGCCAUCCGGCAUCAAAGCAGGUGAGGCACCUUGCAGCUUAAGCUUUGCGGCUGUAAGAGAUUGAUGAAGCUACUGAAGGUAAAAGCCUGUGCCCGGCGUUUACCGGAGGGAAUGUCAAAAGAGUCACUGUAAUGGGAGAGAUCUC